UGAAAACAAGGCUCGAUGCCCCAACCCUCA
rnacentral:piRNA from 1 species